GGUAUAUUGAUGGCUGUUUUAAUUUCUUUGAAAUUAUUCUGAAUGAUUUGUUUUUUAAAAAAUUCAUUGUUAGCUACUCAGAUGCUCAAUAAUGAGAUAGAAAAGUGUAUAAAUUCUUUCAAUAAAUAAAAUUUAUCUUAAAAAAUAGCAAUAGUUUACUGGACCCUUAUACUGCAAAAGAACAGUGAUGUUUUGUGAUGCUGCACAGCUGGAAGACACAGACUAGAAUGAUUUAACACAGUAUCUGACUUUGGUAUCUGCCAAUGCAGUUCAUAUAAAGUAGGGGCGUCAAACUCGCAAUGUCAUGUGACAUGUCAUGACAUAUCGCAACUUUUUUUCCAUUGCUGGCAAUGGGGUGGGUGCAGUUUUGCCAUGGCACAUCCGGCAGUUUGACACCCCUGAUAUAAAGAAUGUAUGCCGUUAUGUUUAGAAAACAUCUCUUAGGCACUGAAACUACAGUGACAAUAUUGCUGCACCAUCAGAAGAUGAAGACUGCAAAUGUAUUGUUCUACUGCCAUUCCUUUAAUAAUGCAGGAGUGUCUCACUUUCUCUGUUCAUUCCUGACCACCUGCAUCUCUGUGUGUGUGUGUGUGUGAGAGAGAGAGAGAGAGAGAGAGAGAGAGAGACAGAGAGAUAUUUUUUUAAUUUAAAAAGAAAGGCAUAUUAUAUUAGAAAUAUAAUAGCGUGUCAAGCUAGCUGAAUUGUCUUCAUGCUGACUUAACGUUUUGAACAGUAUUUUUUUCCCAAACUAUAAAAAAGACCAGUAGCCAGUGAUAAAAUCUAACUGUGUAGCAAAUCAUUUUGUUUUAUAGAGAAAAUAGCAAGUUUUAAAGUUUUCAGGAAAAAAAAGAUGGGAUAUUUAAAAAAAAACAGAAUCCGUUCCAAAAUUGUGUUUAAUAUCUCCAUAGUGUUUAUGGUCUCCAAAUGUUAAUGACAACACAAUUGUCCACCAAUUUCCAAACUGAAAGAACUAAAUAAGUUGUUUAUUAUUUUGAUUGACUUAAAAGUAACAAAGGGAAGAAUUUAUCAUUUUAGUUUCAGAUCACAAUAAAGACGCAAGUAUCUGAUAUUAGUUACUGGCAAAUAUGCUCAUAAAAAGCAUCUGACUUUACCCUAUAUACCUUUCAAUAUAUUUUUUCAAGACUCCAGUAAUAUUUGUAUGAAGCGGAUUUGCUAGCAGUGAAACAAAUGUUUUAUUAGCCACUAUAAACAACAACAUGAAAGGAAGAGAUGCCUAAGUAAACAAGAACAGGUACUUUUCCUGACGUUUCUCAACAGUUUAAGGAAAAAUUGCAAUUGCCAGUUAUUUUGACUCUUUAGUACAUGCCUGAGCAAACAUUGAAACUCUUUUCAAACCUCUAUAUAAUAUUUAAAGCAAGCCUCUAUGUGUUCUAAAAUAGAAAUCAAAUUCCAAAUAGUUUGGGUGGUAUAAACAGAAAUUCUACACCCCAGUCUGCUAUUACUGUAUUCAGUCAGAACAGACUUCUUAUUCUUUUUCUGGAGCCAGAAAUCCUGUGCAUUUUACAAAGCCACAUAAAUAUUUCAUGAAGUGUCUGGGCAAAAAUAAAAUGCUAACAAAAGAAUAUUUUUAAUUCAGGUUGCUUAGUUUAAAAGCAUUAAUAUUUCCAUAAUGUCACACUUGGAAAAGGCAGAAGUUUACAUAACUCACUCUCUAAUUUUUGUGACUUGUGCAUUUAAUUUAAAUUUGUAUACUCACUAUAAAGUUUGUAAUUUAUUAACUUCAGUUAUUUUACUGAAUUUCCACUCUCUUUUCUUUCUUAUUUUUAAUUCAUUUUAAUGCAUGUUUUAUUUUGUACUAUUUUGCUAUCUGGACACUUUGUUCUUAUAUGUUAUUUUAAAGAGUGAAGUUUUGAUAGUUUGGUUGGGAAAAAGAGGGUUAAAAUAGUGCCUUCCAAGAAAUGAGUAUGUCUUUAAUGAUGCAAGUAGUUGCUUUAGUUUGGCAAGAUUUCUGUCUAUAGAUGAGGAACAAUAAGGAGCUUGCUUAGAUGUAUCUACCAGAUAGAAUAUUUGUAGCUCAAGGUGCUCUGAGUUUGGUUGUUUUCGUGCAGAUAUUUCAUUACCAAACUAGGUAACAUAAUCAUUUUUGGUAAGGAAUGAGGUUUGUUCUCAUUUUAUAUACUAAUGCAGAGGUCCCCAAUCCCCAGGCUGAGGCCCACUAUCUGGUCUUGAGCCUUUUGGAACUGGACCAUGGAAGUGGCACAUAAGCUCGUGCAUGCAUCCUCACUCACGCAAGCAGCAAGUGCACGUGCAUGCACGUGCUCCAUUUGUAUGGUUGACAGGCAUAUGUGCCCACCGCUUGCACAAAUGGAGCUGCCCACUGCUCACAUGGAACCAUCCCCUCCCUCCUCGCCAGUCCACAAAGCCAGAAAGAUUGGGGAACUCUGUACUAGAGGCUUGUCCUGUCAGUGUUGGUGGGAGUGUUUUUGGUGAUUCUUUUGUUUAAGUUGUUGUUUACUAUUAACUUGUCUAAGUUGGUAUUUCCAUGAUUGAGGCAUUGUUUGAUUCUUGAUAGUUGGUUUAAUAUUAAUCUUGGUUCUAUUUUCUAUUCAUCUGGUUGUUGAUUACUGGUGAGGACGUGUUUGGGUCUUUUUGUUUCCUUUUUGGCUUUUUUAUUGUCAUUUUUAAAUUAUAUGUAGAUUUUGCUUAUCUCUAUGUGCCUGUUGAUGACUAAUUUAUCUGCAUGCCAUGCUUCCAGGAAUUCUCUAGCAUAUUUGGACUUGGCGUGGUCUAGGAUGCUGAUAGUGUCUGCCUAUGUCUUGUGAAAUUAAAGCAUUUCCAUCAUGUCUUCUAACUGCUGGUUGGUAUUCAUGGAUGUGCUCUGCUAGUCUUCUGCCUGCUUGCCCUAUAUAGUGACUGUUAGUCCUUACACUGUUAUUUCUUCCAGGGAUGCUGGGACUUUUGGUUUACGUAGGAUGUUUUGAAGACUUUAGUCCACUUUAAAUAAUAUUCAGACAAUCUGGAGAAGAAAAAAAAGCUUUGGCCUAAGAAAUGAAAUCCUGACACAUCCUGAAAUAAAUAUUGAGAGAAAUUUGACUUUCUUCAAGCUGGGAAUGGUUCAUCAUCUAAAUCUAACAGGAACACCCAUAAUCAUAUUUAAUUAUUGUCUUCCUACUUUUCCAGAGAGAAAGAGAAGUCCUUCUUAAACUUAUUCAAUACUAUGUUUACAUUCAAAAAUGUAUCUGUUUCUUUUAAAAAUAAAUGUUUUUUUUAAA